rnacentral:rRNA from 1 species
UACGUAGGUGGCAAGCGUUGUCCGGAUUUACUGGGCGUAAAGAGCGCGCAGGCGGUCGUUCAAGUCGCGUGUGAAAGCCCCCGGCUCAACUGGGGAGGGUCACGCGAUACUGAUCGACUCGAAGGCAGGAGAGGGAAGUGGAAUUCCCGGUGUAGUGGUGAAAUGCGUAGAUAUCGGGAGGAACACCAGUGGCGAAGGCGGCCUUCUGGACAGUGACUGACGCUGAGAUGCGAAAGCGUGGGGAGCAACAGG